rnacentral:rRNA from 1 species
UACGUAGGUGGCAAGCGUUAUCCGGAAUUAUUGGGCGUAAAGCGCGCGCAGGUGGUUUCUUAAGUCUGAUGUGAAAGCCCACGGCUCAACCGUGGAGGGUCAUUGGAAACUGGGAGACUUGAGUGCAGAAGAGGAAAGUGGAAUUCCAUGUGUAGCGGUGAAAUGCGUAGAGAUAUGGAGGAACACCAGUGGCGAAGGCGACUUACUGGACACAUAUUGACGCUGAGGUGCGAAAGCGUGGGGAGCAAACAGG